AGUAACGCGUGGGUAACCUGCCUCAUACAGGGGGAUAACAGUUAGAAAUGACUGCUAAUACCGCAUAAGCGCACAGUGCUGCAUGGCACAGUGUGAAAAACUCCGGUGGUAUGAGAUGGACCCGCGUCUGAUUAGCUAGUUGGUGGGGUAACGGCCCACCAAGCCGACGAUCAGUAGCCGACCUGAGAGGGUGACCGGCCACAUUGGGACUGAGACACGGCCCAAACUCCUACGGGAGGCAGCAUG
rnacentral:rRNA from 1 species